UCGAGAAUCUUCGGCAAUGGGCGCAAGCCUGACCGAGCGACGCCGCGUGCGGGAUGAAGGCCUUCGGGUUGUAAACCGCUGUCAGAGGGGAUGAAAUGCAGGUGGGUUCUCCCAUCUGUUUGACAUAGCCUCAGAGGAAGGACGGGCUAAGUUCGUGCCAGCAGCCGCGGUAAGACGAACCGUCCAAACGUUAUUCGGAAUCACUGGGCUUAAAGGGUGCGUAGGCGGCGCGGAAAGUUGGGUGUGAAAUCCCUCGGCUCAACCGAGGAACUGCGCCCAAAACUACCGUGCUCGAGGGAGAUAGAGGUGAGCGGAACUUAGGGUGGAGCGGUGAAAUGCGUUGAUAUCCUAAGGAACACCGGUGGCGAAAGCGGCUCACUGGAUCUCUUCUGACGCUGAGGCACGAAAGCUAGGGUAGCAAACG
rnacentral:rRNA from 1 species